UUACGGCCAUAUCUUGUUGGAACACCGGUUCCCGUACGAUAACCGAAAUUAAACUACGUCGAGUCUGAUCAGUACCUAAAUGCGUGACCCUUUUGAAAUACCAGAUGCUGUAAG